rnacentral:lncRNA from 1 species
UAGCCUUCCUCUCUCAAGUCUUUGUCAAACUUCUAGCAAAGCAACUCCUGUCCAAACUAUAUUUGAAGCUCUUCUGCAGGAGCCGCGGGGCCAAACUGAUUGGGAGGAUCGUUAGCAAACAACCAAGGGAACCAGUAGAACUUACUUCCUUGGAAAGAUGUUUCGAAAAGGAAAGGUCCAGAGUGAGGGCAGUGCCCUUCUUAGAGGCAGAGCAGUGAACACAGUGACCUCCAGGAUGAAGGAGAGUGGGUGGGGUUGGCUGGAAAAGCAAGACAGCCUGCAAUUUAGUGGGUGGAUUGUUGGAUUUGACGUGAGUUCUUCUUGGCUACUUGGGAUGGAACUUUUGUUUUGGAGUUUGGAAUGAGCUCAGAGACUGACAAAAACACAGGGAGGAGGCGGGAGGGAAGGAGGGAACCGGGGGCAUUGUGGAAUUCGUACAAGCUGGCUGCAUGUUCCCUGGCCUCUCUCUGCGUUUCUUUAAGCACCUCCCCUGCACCAAGCGCCUCCUUUGGGAGAGACUGUUUCCUAAUUCAACUGAGAUUCACAGACCCAGGGCCCUUGUUAGGAAAUGUCCUCAGGAAAUGCUCUUGAAAUAGGUGGCUUCCCUGGUAUCUCCAUACUUCGCCUGUAGGUCCACUUUCACUCAUCUUCAGUGAAAGCAGGAAGGGCCCAAGGACCACCCUGCAUAACAAAGUUGAAGGAAACAGGAAUGCUCAAAAGCACUGCCCAUCUCCGACCCUGCCGUUCACAGCUUCCUCACCUGGGAUUGUUGCUCAGCGUCCAUGGAUGGACUUCAGAGGCGUGUGUGACAUUUUCCUGAGGUUGGCUGGACAGAAGACACAAUUCUUGAGGUUCAAGGAACUGCUAAAGGAGAACUGUGGCCCCCACGAGUCUGUAUCUUCAAGAAGUCUGUGGAUAGAAAGAAGCAGCAGAAGCUGGAGAUCCUUCUUACCGGUGGCAAGGUCUGGGGCUUUUGGAAGUGCCUACGAGCAGUGCCAUCCUAAUCUGAGUGCAGACAGAUGGGCCUCUCCUCUGAAACCAGAGACUGAGUUUGGAUAUGGCUCCUGAAAAUUUGCACCCGUUGAAUGCACUUCCUUUUGCCUUUGAGGACGCGGGCGUGUGGUGAAGAGCUAGCAGGACCCAUUGCGUCCACUUUCAAUUAUCUGCACUCUGAAGAGAGGAAGCGUGGAAAACUAUCCAAGAAACAGCUAAGAGAAAGAAUUUCAGUUUGGCUGUGUGAUGAAGUCCAAAUCUAAUCUCUCACUCUUGAUC